GCCACUGCAGAGCCCCGAGCGCGGCCUGCGGUCCCCAUCACCGGCCCGGGACCCCACGGCCAGCCCAAGUUCAGCUGAACACUGAGCUACCUACCUACCCCCUCAACCUGCCUGAUACCGCCCCGCGCCUCCGAUGAUACUCCACUGCCUGUUCAUUUCCCUGACAUUAGCUGCUUUAGAGGGAAUUGAGCUGACUGGAUUGCAACGGUGCUAUCAAAGGAGGUGCCACAGCGGACUACAGAGAGGGAGGAGAAUCUGUCAAGGAACUUGUAGAGAACACCAGAAAAUGCAUCACAGAACUCACCAAGGGCCCCAUGUCUCAGAAGAGCUGUGAGGAACCUAAUAUCUCAAAGGAGGAGAAGACAUCAGAUUGCUGUGCCAGUGCUAGAGAUAUCCAAACCUCCACGUGGUGCAUAGAGUACCCAGGGAGAUGUCAGAGGCCAUGUAGGACCAACAUGGAUUGGGUAGCCCCAUAGCUUUGGGGCAGAUGUAUGGGGUGAACAAGUCUUGGGGAGGAUUGGUGUGGAUUUGAAUCUGUUGGUACCCAGGUUGGCUGACACCAACAAUCCCUGCCUGGGAGUGGGAAAAGCCUCUGGGUGCCCAGCUGUGUCUUACUUUUAUCCCUCUUUUUGUUUCCCUAAUUACAAUGCUCAAGUA